rnacentral:sRNA from 1 species
CUCUUUUCUCCCUUGCCAGACUCAGUAGAGGAAGCUGAGACCGAGCAGCCGCAGGAAAAAGAAAUACCUCCACCUUGCCUGAGCCCGGAGCCACAGGAGACCUUGCAGAAGGUGAAGAAUGUUCUGGAACAAUGCAAGACCUGCCCAGGCUGCCCCCAGGAGCCAGCGUCCUGGGGUCUCUGUGCGGCAUCCAGUGACGUGAGCUUGCAGGACCCCGAGGAGCCCUCCUUCUGCUUGGAAGCUGAGGACGACUGGGAGGACCCAGAGGCCCUGAGCUCACUGCUGCUGUUCCUGAACGCCUCCGGGUACAAGGCCAGCUUCCAUGGCCUGUACGAUGUGGCGCUGCCAUGGCUGAGCAGCGUGUUCCGCAGCUUCAGCGACGAGGAGGAGCUGACUGGGCGCCUGGCACAGGCCCGGGGGGCGGCCAAGAAAGCUGGCCUCCUCAUGGCCCUGGCCAGGCUCUGCUUCCUCCUGGGGCGGCUGUGCAGCAGGAGGCUCAAGCUGUCCCAGGCCCGGGUGUACUUUGAGGAAGCGCUGGGGGCCCUGGAGGGCAGCUUCGGGGACCUGUUCCUGGUGGUGGCUGUGUACGCCAACCUGGCCAGCAUUUACCGGAAGCAGAAGAACCGG